rnacentral:rRNA from 1 species
UACGUAGGUGGCAAGCGUUGUCCGGAUUUACUGGGCGUAAAGAGCGCGCAGGCGGCUGGUCAAGUCCGAUGUGAAAUCUCCCGGCUUAACUGGGAAACUGCAUCGGAAACUGAUCGGCUUGAAGGUGGGAGAGGGUAGUGGAAUUCCCGGUGUAGUGGUGAAAUGCGCAGAUAUCAGGAGGAACACCGGUGGCGAAGGCGGGUCUCUGGGCCGUAACUGACGCUGAGGAGCGAAAGCGUGGGGAGCGAACAGG